UCAAAAAUAUAAAGAGGAUUAGAUAGGUAUAAAUUACAAGAUUUUUUUAUAAAUAUCAUUUUUUUAAUUUUUUCUCGCUAAUUUUUUUAAAAAUAUUCUUUCCCCUCUUAAUAUUUUAAAUUAGGAAAAAUUUCGAAUACCAUCCCUAUAGUUUCGCAUCUUUUAACUUUAGUAUCAUACUAUCAUGUGGUUUAAAGUGUGUCAAUUUAGUACUCGGUGGUUUCGCACUUUCUUACUUUAGUAUCAUAUGGUUUAAAAUGCAUCAAUGUAGUACCCUGUGGUUUUUUUUUUUUUCUUUUCGACAAAUUAUAUACAAAAUACUUCAAAUAUUCUACCUAAGUUUAUCGAAUAUUUACUUUAGUACCUUUAGUUUUAACUCUGUUACUGAUUUUAUUUUCCUCCAUUAAUAUUUCGUUAAAUUAUAUACAAAAAAACGUAAGAUACCCUAUCUAGGUUUAUCGAAUAUUUACUUUAGUACCUUUAGUUUUAACUCUGUUACUGAUUUUAUUUUCCUCCAUUAAUAUUUCGUUAAAUUAUAUACAAAAAAACGUAAGAUACCCUAUCUAGGUUUAUCGAAUAUUCACUUGUACCCCAUAAUUUUAACUUUGUCACUAAUUUAAUGAAAAUAAUUAGUGAAAUAGAUAAUUAAAAAAAAAAAAAAACCACAGGGUACGAACUUGAUACACUUUAAACCAUAGAGUACUAAAGUGAGAAAGUACGAAACCAUAAGGGCUAACUUGAUACACUUUAAAUCACAUGGUACUAAAGUGAGAAAAAUGUGAAAACCACAAAGGGAGUAUUUAAAGAUUACCCUUUAAAUUAUUACAUUUAACCUUUCUCUCUCAUAGUUUCAUUACUGUUCCGUUCAUUUCUUAUAAUUUAUAUCAAAAAUAUUUUUUAAAAUAACAAAAAUAUAUUAAAAAACUAUUUUUUUUAAAAAAAAAUAAUUUGAUCAUUUUACUUUCUUCAUUAAUGUUUUUUUAAAAUAUUUUUAAAAUUUUAAGAGAAUAAAUUAUAAAAUUUUGAGACUGAGAGAGUGAAAGUGAAAAAGUAAGUGUUUAUAGAAAAGUUUUCUAUAAUCUAGCCGAAAUAUUUUAAAGGCGGUUUGGUU
rnacentral:lncRNA from 1 species